rnacentral:rRNA from 1 species
GACGAACGCUGGCGGCGUGCUUAACACAUGCAAGUCGAACGGAAAGGACCUGCUUUUGUGGGGUGCUCGAGUGGCGAACGGGUGAGUAACACGUGAGUAACCUGCCCUUGACGUUGGGAUAACUUCAGGGAACUGGGGCUAAUAACGGAUAGGAGAUUCUGCUGCAUGGUGGGGGUUGGAAAGUUUUGGCGGCUGGGGAUGGGUUCGCGGGGUAGCAUUUUGUUGGUGGGGUAGUGGCUUACCAAGGCGUUGACGGGUGGCCGGCCUGAGAGGGGGACCGGCCACAUGGGGAGUGAGAUACGGCCGGGACCCCUACGGAAGGCAGCGGAGGGGAAGAUAGCACAAUGGGCGGAAGCCUGAUGCAGCAACGCGGCGUGCGGGAUGACAGCCUUCGGUGUAAAAGCCGCUUGGGCCUGUGACAAAGCGUAAGUGACGGUAAUGGGUAAAAAAGCACCGGCUAACUACGUG